rnacentral:rRNA from 1 species
UAAUACGUAGGGGGCGAGCGUUGUCCGGAUUUAUUGGGCGUAAAGAGCUCGUAGGUGGUUUGGUAAGUCGGAUGUGAAAUCUCCAGGCUCAACCUGGAGGGGUCAUUCGAUACUGCCAUGACUAGAGUUCGGUAGGGGAGUGUGGAAUUCCUGGUGGAGCGGUGAAAUGCGCAGAUAUCAGGAGGAACACCCGUAGCGAAGGCGGCACUCUGGGCCGAUACUGACACUGAGGAGCGAAAGCGUGGGGAGCGAACAGG